CAAUCAGAUCCACUUCCAGUAGAAAACUGUGGAAGCAGUUCAUCUCAACAUGUUGGCUUCUAUUAACCCAAGUUCUGGAGAGGUCUCUGAGAUUUCCAGUUUACAUAUUGUUCCUUGUGGAAGAACAGCCCUAGGUCUGGGGAGUAAUGGCGCAGAGAUCCACCACCCUAUCUCACCACCACCCGAGACACAGAUGUGGCUUCUGUUUGUAAGUCCCUAUUAAAUGUUUCUUUCUGAGAAA